rnacentral:rRNA from 1 species
CAAGUCGAGGGGCAUCACGAGGUAGCAAUACUUUGGUGGCGACCGGCGCACGGGUGCGUAACGCGUAUGUAACCUACCUAUAACAGGGGCAUAACACUGAGAAAUUGGUACUAAUUCCCCAUAAUAUUCGGAGAGGCAUCUCUCCGGGUUGAAAAUUCCGAUGGUUAGAGAUGGGCAUGCGUUGGUAUUAGCUAGUUGGUGGGGUAACGGCUCACCAAGGCGACGAUACAUAGGGGGACUGAGAAGGUUAACCCCCACACUGGUACUGAGACACGGACCAGACUCC